CUUUUAUCUAAUAAAUGCAUCCCUUCUAGAAGUCGGGGUUUGUUGCACGUAUUAGCUCUAGAAUUACUAUGGUUAUCCGAGUAGUAGAUACCAUCAAACAAACUAUAACUAAUUAAAUGAGCCAUUCGUAGUUUCACAGUCUGAAUUAGUUCAUACUUACACAUGCAUGGCUUAAUCUUUGAGACAAGCAUAUGACUACUAGCAGGAUCAACCAGGUAGCAUUCAUUCGAGAUGUUGGCAUUGCAUGGGCCUCGACGCACCGAUCAAGUGGCAGAGAGAGCCCAACAUGGAGCGCAAGCGUUGUGCGUGUCGAGCACGUGAAAUGCGUAGCAUCAGAUGAACGGGGGCCGAGAGCCCGCGCCCGCUAAUCGUUUCGCAUCUGCGAGCAUGAUCAAACGCCAAUGCACCAAUCCGACCACGCAGGAUUAGGUGGCACACUUGGGACACCGGCCACGAUUGACGUCCGACCUGUGGCCCCUCGAGACACGAGACAGAUGAGGGAUGGUGAGACAUCUAGUUUCCAUCGAUUCAGGUAUGCAACACAGGAUCCCAAUCGUGCCCCCUGGGUACGAUGACCGCAUAGGGGGAGAUUGAAAAGGAUGACGGGUCGAUAGUUUGAUGCAUCGAGCAUCGAGCCUGCCAACACGCACAACCAUAGCACCACUCAUAUGCCCAUUGUGUACAAGAGGCAGCAUCCACGCACGUCGGUCCACAACCGACCCGAUCGAUUACUCGACGAGCGAGCGGAGGAAAUGACGUGCGAGGCCACACCACAACCGCUUGGCACGAGAAAAACACCAGCAAGGGCCACGAGACUGCCCCUGCCAUCUGACAGGCAACAACAAAGUGACACCACCAAUGCUUGGCCUGGUCGGGACCGCAUGCGCGAGCUCCGCUGACACCACCCCAGGGGGAAGUUACCCGAUUCAGGGACUUGUUCCUGGGGUCUUGGGCAGCGUAGGUUGCAUGCACGGCCUCGUCGAGGCCUAGGCAUUUUUUAUGGUCGAGGAGAAGGGACCGCGAGACUGUCAAAUAUCGAAAGACCUGGCUGGGCCAACCCCGCAACCGCGGCUUCUACUCGCACCACCCCAGGGAGCCGUUGCCCAAUUCAGGGACUUGGUCUGGGGUCUAAGGUAGUAUCUGCCGUGUACACAGGUUCGAGCUCAGCUCUUCUUUUUUGCAUGCACGUCAAUCGAUCGAGGCCAUGGGCGCCUGCCAGUCACUCGAGCAACCAGUCACCGAAUAAAAUGGCGGGAAGGCAUGCACGCCUUGUAUUUCGUUUAAGGGACGUUGCCCUGAGUGUACGCAAUAGGAGGCCCAUCACGCACACCUACUCCCCUCGUGGAGGGGGAGAGGGGAGAGGGGUGCCGGACCACCACCAUCUAAAGAGCAUUAGAGAUUUUACAGAUCUGCUACCAAUAGACGUUAAAGUGUCUGAAAUGGGGACACUUUUUCCAAAUAGGCAUAUCCCACACUGAGGGUGAGCAGGUGCCGAUGGUGGUUGGGGCAUGUGGCCGCACCAAGGGCCAGCGCGUGUCGAUGGUGGUCGAUCCGACUGCCUGCACCAAGGGUCAGCAUGUGCCGAUGGUGGUCGAGGCAACCGCCCACACCAGAUCGAGGCAUGUGCCCAUACCAAGGCCCGACAUGUGCCGAUGGUGGUCGAGUAAGAGCCCGCACCAAAGGCCGGCUUAUGUCGGUGGUGCCCGAGGUAACCGCCCACACCGAGGGCCAUCUUUUACCGAUGGUGGUCCAGGCAACCGCCCCCAACAAGGCCCAGCACGUGCUGAUGGUGUUCGAGGCAAUCGCCCGCACUAGGGGCCAUCUUUUGUCGAUGGUGGUCGAGGCAAGAGCCCACACCAAAGGCCGGCUUGUGCCGAUGGUGCUCAAGGUAAAUGCCCAUACGAAGGCCUACCACGUGCCAAUGGUGUUCGAGGUAACUGCCCGCACCGAAGCCCAGUAUGUGCCGAUGGUGGUCGACGCAAUCGCUCGCACCAAGGCCUAGCAUGUGCCGAUGGUGUUCGACGUAACCGUCUGCACCAGGGGCCAUCUUGGGUCGAUGGUAGUCCACGCAACCGCCCGCACCAAGGAUCGGCUUGUGUGGAUGGUGGUUCAGGUAACCACCCGCACCAGGGGCCAUUUUCUACCGAUGGUGGUCAAGGCAACCGCCCGUACCAAAGACUAGCACGUGCCGAUGGUGGUCGAGGCAACCGCCCGCACCAAGGCCCAGCAUGGGCCGAUGGUGUUUGACGCAACUGCCCGCACCAGGGGCCAUCUUGUGCCAAUGGUGGUUGAGGUAACCACCCGCACCAAGGGUCGUCUUGUGCCGAUGAUGGUCAAGGCAACCGCCCUCACCAAGGGUCAACUUGUGCAGAUGGUGGUCGAGGCAACUGCCUGCACCAGGGGCCAUUUUCUGCAGAUGGUGGUUGAGACAAGAGCCCGCACCAAGAGCCGGCUUAUGUCGAUGGUGGUUGAGGCAACUGCCCGCACCAGAGGCCAUCUUCUGCCAAUGGUGGUCGAGGUAACUGCCUACACCAGGGGCCAUCUUCUGUCGAUGGUGGUCGAGGCAACCGCCCGCACCAAGGCCCAGCAUGUGCCGAUGGUGGUUGAGGUAAGAGCCCGCACUAAGGGUUAGCUUGUACCGAUGGUGCUCGAGGCAACCGCCCCCACCAGGGGCCAUCUUCUACCGAUGGUGGUCGAGGUAACCGCCUACACCAAGGCCCAGCAUGUACCGAUGGUGGUCGAGGCAACAGCCUACAGCAAGGGCCAGCAUGUACCGAUGGUGUUCGACGUAACCGCCCGCACCAGUGGCCAUCUUGUGCUGAUGGUGGUCGAGGUAACCGCCCGUACCAAGGGUCGGCUAGUGCCGAUGGUGCUCGAGGCAACCACUCGUACCAAGGCCCAGCACGUGCCGAUGGUGUUCGAGGCAACCUCCUGCACUAGGGGUCAUCUUCUACCGAUGGUGGUCGACGCAACCGCCCGCACCAAGGCCCCGCAUGUGCCGAUGGUGUUCGACGUAGCCGCCCGCACUAGGGGCCAUCUUGUGUCGAUGGUGGUUGAGGUAACCCCCCGCACCAAGGGCCGACUGGUGCCGAUGGUGUUCGAGGCAAUCGCCCACACCAAGGCUCGGCAUGUGUCGAUAAUGGUCGAGGCAACCGCCUAUACCAGGGGCCAUCUUGUGCCGAUGGUGGUCGAGGCAAUCGUCCGUACCAAGGGUCGACUUGUGUCGAUGGUGGUCGAGGCAACCGCCCGCACCAAGGUCGGCAUGUGUCGAUGGUGAUCGAGGCAACCACCCCCACCAGGGCCCAGCUUACUCUUUGAGACAAGCAUAUGACUACUGGCAGGAUCAACCAGGUAGCAUAAAUUCGGGACAUUGGCACUGCGUGUGCCUCGAUGCACCGACCGAGCGGUGUAUAGAGCCCGACACGGAGCGCAAGCAUCGUGCGUGUCAAGCACAUGAAAUGCAUAGCAUCAGACAAACGGGGGCUGAGAGCCCGCGCCCGCUAAAUGUUUCACAUUCGAGAGCACGAUCGAACGUCGGUGCACCAAUGCAACCAUGGAGGAUUGAGUGGCACGCUUGGGACACCGACCACGAUUGACAUCCAACCCGUGGCCCCUCGGGACACGAGACGGAUGAGGGAUGGUGAGACAUCCGGUUUCCAUCGAUUCAGGUAUGUAACACAGGAUCCUGAUCAUGCCCCCUGGGUACGAUGAUCGCAUGGGGGGAGAUUGAAGAGGAUGAUGGACCGACAGUUCGAUGCAUCGAGCAUGGAGCCUACCAACACGCACAACCAUAGCACCACUCAUACGCCCAUUGCGUACAAGUGGCAGCAUCCACGCACGUCGAUCCACAACCUGUCUGAUCGAUUACUCGAUGAGCAAGCGAAGGAAAUGACGUGCGAGGCCAUGCCACAACCGCUUGGCACGAGAAAAACAUGAGCAAGGGCCACGAGACUGCCCCUGCCAUCCGAUAGGCAACAACAAAGUGACACCACCAAUGCUUGGCCCAGCUGGGAUCGCACGUGUGAGCUCCGCUGACACCACCCCAGGGGGACGUUGCCUGAUUCAGGGACUUGUUCCUGGGGUCUCGGGCAGCGUCGACUAUGUGCACAGCCUCAUUGAGGCCUAGAAGUUUUUAUGGUCGAUGAGAAGGGACCGCGAGAUCGUCAAAUACCGAGAGGCCUGGCUGGGCUAAGCCCGCAACCGUGAGUUCUGCUCGCACCACCCCAGGGAGCCAUUGCUUGAUUCAGGGACUUGAUCUGGGGUCUAGGGCAGCAUCCACCGCAUGCACGGGCUCUAGCUCAGCUUCUUUUUUUUGCAUGCAUGCCAACCGAUCGAGGCCAUGGGCGCCUACUGGUCACCAGAGCAACCAGUCACCGGACAAAACGGCCAGAAGGCAUGCACACCCUGUAUUUCACUCGAGGAACGUUGCCCUGGGUGUACACAAUAGGAGGCCCAUCACGCACACCUACUCCCCCCGUGGGGGGGAGAGGGGGUGCCGGACCACCACCCCCUAAAGAGCAUUAGAGAUUUUACAGAUAUGCUACCAGUAGACGUUAAAGUGUCUGAAACAGGGACAUUUUUUCCAAACAAGCAUAUCUCGCACCGACGGUGAGUAGAUGCCGAUGGUGGUUGGGGCAUGUGCCCGUACCAAGGGCUAGCGAGUGCCGAUGGUGGUCGAUGCGAUUGCCCGCACCAAGGGCCAGCAUGUGCCGAUGGUGGUCGAGGCAACCGCCCGUACCAGAUCGAGGCAUGUGCCUACACCAAGGCCCGACAUAUGCCGAUGGUGUUCGAGGUAACCGCCCACACCAGGGGCCAUCUUCUACCGAUGGUGGUCGAGGUAAGAACCCGCACCAAGGGCCAGCUUAUGCUGAUGGUGCUGGAGGCAACCGCCCGCACCAAGGCCUGGCACGUGCCGAUGGUGUUUGAGGACAACCGCUCGCACUAGGGACCAGCAUGUACCGAUGGUGUUCGAGGUAACCACCCACACCAGGGGCCAUAUUCUACCGAUGGUGGUCGAGGCAAGAGCUCGCACCAAGGGCCAGCUUAUGUCGAUGGUGCUCGAGGCAACCACCCGUACAAAGGCCUAGCAUGUGCCGAUGGUGUUCGAGGCAAUCGGUCGCACCGAGGCCCAGCAUGUGCUGAUGGUGGUCGAGACAAUUGCCCGUACCAAGGCCCAGCAUGUGCCGAUGGUGUUCGACGUAACCGCCCGCACCAGGGGCCAUCUUGUUUUGAUGGUGGUCGAGGCAACCACCCGUACCAAGUGUCAGCUUGUGCCGAUGGUGGUCGAGGCAACCGCCCGCACCAUGGCCCAGUAUGUGCCGAUGGUGUUCGAUGCAACCACCCCCACCAGGGGCCAUCUUGUGCCGAUGGUGGUCGAGGCAAUCACCCGUACCAGGGGUCGACUUGUGCCGAUGGUGGUCGAGGCAACUGCUCGCACCAAGGGCCGACAUGUGCUGAUGGUGAUCGAGGCAAUCGCCCGUACCACGGCCCAGCUUGUGCCGAUGGCGGUCAAGGCAAGUGCCCGUACCAAAGGGCAGCCUGUGUCGAUGAUGGUCGAUACAUGUGCCAUCACCAUGCGCCAUCAUGUGCCAUUGAUGGUCGAGGCCUUGGCCGAAGUUCAAUUUUGAGCCACAGUGCACAUGCUGGGCUCAGGCAUGUACUGGUUUCACAUUUUUUUCACCUGAGGCACCAUCGUCGGAGCAUCGUCAGAGAGCCUAACUGGCAGCAUUGGUGGUUUCGACGAUUGGGGGGCCGGGGGGUGUGCGCACAUGAUGUGCGAUGGGUGCUGGUACUUGGCCUUUAUAUUGCCCCCCUAUCCCUCAUCAAACUUCGAGAACUCACACCCCCUUAAAGAGCAUUUGAGAUUUUAUAGGUUUGCUGCCAGUAGCCAUUAAAGUGUCUGAAAUGGGGACACUUUUUUCAAACGGUCACAAAAUCUUCUCCACUUCGAGUUUUUAGCUGAAUUGUUUUGUGCAUGCCAACAAAAAUACAAGGAUCACUUCUACCAAAUUUGGGGACAAAACUCUUUCUAAAAAAAUUUUAAAAAAUCCUGAACCACAAAAAGUUUCAAAAAUUAUGAAAAAUAGAAAACGGGUUGUCUUGCCACGAAACUUCACGUGAAGGCUUAGGGGACCAUUGUAUGAAUUUACAAGCCAUAAAAAUGGCAUUGGCAUGGCAGAAAUAUGAAGAUGUGCUUGAACCCACCUACCACCCGUUGGAUCCACGGCUUGCGCAUCCUGCCUCUCUGGCCGGCUGAGCGUCCGCACGUUCGUUUCACGGGUUGACUUAGGCAUACAGAGUUCAUCCCCAGUCUAAGCAUAUGGAGUUCAUUCCCAGUCUAAGAUCGGACUGGACCGAGGGUUACAGUAGUAGGAUCAGUAGCACGUAGGGGGGGAUCGGGCCGAUCCCCGGCUUGCGCAUUCUGCCUCUCCGACCGGUUGAGCGCCCGCAUGCCUGUUUCAUGGGUUGGCUUAGGCAUAGGGAGUUCAUUCCAUGUCUAAGCCCCAGCCGAACCGAGGGUUGUGGUAGUGGGACCGACAGCACGCAGAAGGGGACCAAACCGAUCCCCAACUUGCGUAUUAUGCCUCUUCGAUCGGCUCAACACCUGUACGCUCAUUUUGUGGGUUGACUUAGGCAUACGGAGUUCAUUCCCAGUCUAAGAUCGGAUCGGACUGAGGGUUGCGAUAACAGGAUCGACAGCACGCAGGGGGGACCGGGUUGAUCCCUGGCUUGUACAUUCUGCCUCUCCGACCUGUUGAGCGCCCGCACACCCAUUUCGUGGGUUGGCUUAGGCAUAGGGAGUUCAUUCCAUGUCUAAGCCCCAGCCAGAUCGAGGGUUGUGGCAGCAGGACCGGUGCACAUAGAGGGGGACUGGGCCGAUCCUCGGCUUGCGCAUUAUGCCUUUUCGGCCGACUCAGCGCCCGCACACUCGUUUUGUGGGUUGACUUAGGCAUACGGAGUUCAUUCCUAGUCUAAGAUCAAAGCGGACCGAGGGUUGUGGUCGCAAGAUCGACAGCACGCAGGGGGGGACCGAGCUGAUCCCCGGCUUACGCAUUCUGUCUCUCCAGUCGACUGAGUGCCCGCACGCUCGUUUCAUGGGUUGGCUUAGGCAUACGGAGUUCAUUCCAUGUCUAAGCAUACGGAGUUCAUUCCCAUUCUAAGAUCGGACCGGACCGAGGGUUGCGACAACAGGACUAGCAGUAGAAUCGACAGCACGCACGCGGGAUCGGGUCGAUCCCUGGCUUGCGUAUUCUGCCUCUCCGGUCGGUUGAGUGACUGCACGCUCGUUUCGUGGGUUGGCUUAGGCAUAUGGAGUUCAUUCCAUGUCUAAGCCCCAGCCGGACUGAGGGUUGUGGCAGUAGGAUCGGCAGCGGGAUCGGUAGCACCUAGAGAAGGAUAGGGCUGAUCCCCGGCUUGCGCAUUAUGCCUCUCUGGCCGACCUGUCCGGCCAGCUCAACACCCGUAUGCCCAUUUCAGGGGUUGACUUAGGCAUACGGAGUUGAUUCCAAGUCUAAGCAUAGAGAGUUCAUUCCCAGUCUAAGCAUACGUUGGCACCACGUGGGCCUCGACGCACCGACCGAGCGGUGGAGAGAGCCCGUCGUGGAGCGUAAGCAUCGUGCGUGUCGAGGACGUGAAAUGCGUAGCAUCGGACGAACGGGGGCCGAGAGCCCGCACUCGCUAAACAUUUCACAUCCGAGAGCAUGAUCGAAUGUUGAUGCACCAAUGUGGCCAUGGAGGAUUGGGUGGCGUGCUUAGGACAUCGGCCACGAUUGACGUUCGACCCGUGGCCCCUCGGGACACAAGACGGAUGAGGGAUGGUGAGACAUCUAGUUUCCAUCGAUUUAGGUAUGCAACACAGGAUCCCGAUCACACCUACUGGGUACGAUGAUCGCAUGGGGGGAGAUUGAAGAGGAUGAUGGGUCGAUAGUUCGAUGCAUCGAGCUUGGAGCCUGUCAACAUGCACAACCAUAGCACCACUCAUAUGCCCAUUGUGUACAAGUGGCAGCAUCCACGCGCGCCGGUCCAUAACCCACCCAAUCAAUUACUCGACGAGUGAGCAGAGGUAACGACGUGCGAGGCCAUGCCACAACCACUUGGCAAGAGAAAAACACGAGCAAGGGCCACGAGACUGCCCCUGCCAUCCAACAGGCAACAACAAAGCGACACCACCAAUGCUUGGCCCGAUUGGACCCGUACACGUGAGCUCUGUUGACACCACCCCAAGGGGACGUUACCCAAUUCAGAGACUUGUUCCUGGGGUCUCAGGCAGUGUCGGUUGCGUGCACAGCCUCGUUGAGGCCUAGGCAUUUUUGUGGUCGAUAAGAAGGGAUCACGAGAUCAUCAAAUACUAAGAGACCUGGCUGGGCCAAGCUCGCAACUGCGACUUCUACUCGCACCACCCCAGGGAGCCGUUACCCGAUUCAGGGACUUGGUCUGGGGUCUAGGGUAGCAUCCGUCGCGUGCAUGGGCUCGAGCUCAGCUCUUUUUUUUCACAUGCAUGCCAACCGGUCGAGGCCAUAGGUGCCUGUCAGUCACCGGAGCAACCAGUCCUCAAACAAAAUGGUCGGAAGGCAUGCACACCCUGUAUUUCGCUCAAGGGACAUUGCCCUGGGUGUACGCAAUGGGAGGCCCAUCACACACACCUACUCCCCCCGUGGGGGAGGGAGAGGGGGUGCCGGACCACCACCCCAUAAAGAGUAUUAGAGAUUUUAUAGAUAUGCUACCAGUAGACAUUAAAGUGUCUUAAACGAGGACACUUUUUCCAAACAGGCAUAUCUCGCAUCGAGGGUGAGCAGGUGCCGAUGGUGGUUGGGGCAUGUGCCUGCACCAAGGGCCAGCGCGUACCGAUGGUGGUCGAUGCGAGUGCUCGCACCAAGGGCCAGCGUGUGCCGAUGGUGGUCAAGGCAAUCACCCGUACCAGAUCAAGGCAUGUGCCCACACCAAGGUCGGCAUGUGAAAAUGGUGUUUGAGGUAACCGCCCACACCAAGGCCAUCUUCUACCGAUGGUGGUCGAGGCAAGAGCCCGCACCAAGGGCCGACUUGUACCGAUGGUGCUCGAGGCAACCGCUCCCACCAAGGGCCAUCUUCUGUCGAUGGUGGUCGAGGCAAUCGCCCGUACAAAGGCGCAGCACGUGUCGAUGGUGUUCGAGGCAACCGCCCGCACCAGGGGCCAUCAUCUGCCGAUGGUGGUCGAGGCAAGAGCCCACACCAUAGGCUGGCUUGUGCCUAUGGUGCUCGAGGUAACCACCCGUACGAAGGCCUAGCACGUGCUGAUGGUGUUCGAGGCAACCGCUCGCACCGACGCCCAGCAUGUACCGAUGGUGUUCGACGCAACCGUUCGCACCAGAGGCCAUCUUGUGUCGAUGGUGGUCGAGGCAACCACCCGCACCAGGGGCCAUUUUCUACCGAUGGUGGUCGAGGCAACCGCCCGCACCAAGGGUUAGCUUGUGUAGAUGCUGGUCGAGGUAACCGCUCGCACCAGGGGCCAUUUUUUGUCAAUGGUGGUCGAGACAAGAGCCCGCACCAAGGGUUGGAUUGUGUCGAUGGUGGUCGAGGCAACCGCCCACACCAGGGCCCAUCUUCUGUCGAUGGUGGUCGAGGCAACCGCCCACACCAAGGCCCAGCAUGUGCCGAUGGUGGUCGAGGCAAGAGCUCGAACCAAGGGUCAGCUUGUACCGAUGGUGCUUGAGACAACCGCCCGCACCAGAGGCCAUCUUAUGUUGAUGGUGGUCGAGGCAACCGCCCGCACCAAGGCCCAGCAUGUGCCGAUGGUGUUUGAGGCAAUCGUUCUCACCAAGGCCUAGCAUGUGCCGAUGGUGUUCGACACAACUGCCCCUACCAGAGGCCAUCUUCUACCGAUGGUGGUCGAGGCAACCGCCCGCACCAAGGCCCAGCAUGUGCCGAUGGUGUUCGGCACAAUCGCCCAUAUCAGGGGCCAUCUUGUGCCAAUGGUGGUCGAGGCAACCACCCGCACGGAGGGUCGGCUAGUGCCGAUGGUGCU
rnacentral:lncRNA from 1 species